CUUGCUCCUUUGACGUUAGCGGCGGACGGGUGAGUAACACGUGGGUAACCUACCUAUAAGACUGGGAUAACUUCGGGAAACCGGAGCUAAUACCGGAUAAUAUUUCGAACCGCAUGGUUCGAUAGUGAAAGAUGGUUUUGCUAUCACUUAUAGAUGGACCCGCGCCGUAUUAGCUAGUUGGUAAGGUAACGGCUUACCAAGGCGACGAUACGUAGCCGACCUGAGAGGGUGAUCGGCCACACUGGAACUGAGACACGGUCCAGACUCCUACGGGAGGCAGCAGUAGGGAAUCUUCCGCAAUGGGCGAAAGCCUGACGGAGCAACGCCGCGUGAGUGAUGAAGGUCUUCGGAUCGUAAAACUCUGUUAUUAGGGAAGAACAUACGUGUAAGUAACUAUGCACGUCUUGACGGUACCUAAUCAGAAAGCCACGGCUAACUACGUGCCAGCAGCCGCGGUAAUACGUAGGUGGCAAGCGUUAUCCGGAAUUAUUGGGCGUAAAGCGCGCGUAGGCGGUUUUUUAAGUCUGAUGUGAAAGCCCACGGCUCAACCGUGGAGGGUCAUUGGAAACUG
rnacentral:rRNA from 1 species